UGAUACACGGUAGAAAAUCACAGC
rnacentral:miRNA from 1 species